AUUGAACGCUGGCGGCAGGCCUAACACAUGCAAGUCGAGCGGCAGCGGGAAAGUAGCUUGCUACUUUUGCCGGCGAGCGGCGGACGGGUGAGUAAUGCCUGGGAAAUUGCCCAGUCGAGGGGGAUAACAGUUGGAAACGACUGCUAAUACAGCAUACGCCCUACGGGGGAAAGCAGGGGACCUUCGGGCCUUGCGCGCUCGGAGAUGCCCAGGUGGGAUUAGCUAGUUGGUGAGGUAAUGGCUCACCAAGGCGACGAUCCCUAGCUGGUCUGAGAGGAUGAUCAGCCACACUGGAACUGAGACACGGUCCAGACUCCUACGGGAGGCAGCAGUGGGGAAUAUUGCACAAUGGGGGAAACCCUGAUGCAGCCAUGCCGCGUGUGUGAAGAAGGCCUUCGGGUUGUAAAGCACUUUCAGCGAGGAGGAAAGGUUGUUGGCUAAUAUCCAACAGCUGUGACGUUACUCGCAGAAGAAGCACCGGCUAACUCCGUGCCAGCCGCCGCGGUAAUAC
rnacentral:rRNA from 1 species